rnacentral:rRNA from 1 species
AGUGAACGCUGGCGGUAGGCCUAACACAUGCAAGUCGAACGGCAGCACAGUAAGAGCUUGCUCUUACGGGUGGCGAGUGGCGGGCGGGUGAGGAAUACAUCGGAAUCUACUUUUUCGUGGGGGAUAACGUAGGGAAACUUACGCUAAUACCGCAUACGACCUAUGGGUGAAAGCAGGGGAUCUUCGGACCUUGCGCGAUUGAAUGAGCCGAUGUCGGAUUAGCUAGUUGGCGGGGUAAAGGCCCACCAAGGCGACGAUCCGUAGCUGGUCUGAGAGGAUGAUCAGCCACACUGGAACUGAGACACGGUCCAGACUCCUACGGGAGGCAGCAGUGGGGAAUAUUGGACAAUGGGCGCAAGCCUGAUCCAGCCAUACCGCGUGGGUGAAGAAGGCCUUCGGGUUGUAAAGCCCUUUUGUUGGGAAAGAAAAGCAGCAGGUUAAUACCCCGCUGUUCUGACGGUACCCAAAGAAUAAGCACCGGCUAACUUCGUG